GAAAAAAAACUAAAAAAUAGCUAAUUUCUAUAUUUAGAUUGAGAAUCUGCUGUAGUUACAAAAACUAAUACAAAAUUUGAGUGAUUACUGUAAAAGAAAAUACACGUAUAAAGAAAAAUGUAAUUUUAAUAAAAAAAUCGAAUUAAAUAUUAACAAGUGAAUAAGACAAGUUGCAAAAAAGGGUGUCACGUGGUUGAUGAAACAAAAAAAUAAGCAUGAUGUUGCACAUGAUCCACCAACGGUAACUUCCAAACAUCACAACUUUGCUAAUCUUGCGCAUGCCACUAAGGUGUUGUUUGUUUUUUUGUUAAAAGAGCUUCAGAACCUCUUUUGUCUUCACCAAGCAGACCACGCGCAGACAUAGGGCUUUGAAGCUUGUUUGUUUUUCUGCAGACAAUUCAUUAAAAAAGCACUUCAUAAACUCUUCUUGGGGCAGAUGUUAAUUUACCUCUUCACAAAUCUCUUCUCCUCUUCCAAAGAAACAACUCAAGAAACCCUAUCCUUCUCCUUCUCCAUUCACGCCUCCUCCCCUGCUCCUCCACCUCACGGCGCCGACCUCCCUCCUCCUCCACCUCACGGCGCCGACAUCCCCUCUUCCUCCACCUCACGCCGAGCACCACCUAGCCGAGCCCCACAGAGCCGACCUCCCUCUUCCGCCCCUGCUCCUCCACCUCACGCCGCCGUCUUCCCUGCUCCUCCACCUCACGCCGCUGUCCUCCACCAUAAAGAAAUGGGAGAGAAACAACAAUGGUCAAACGACCAUCUAAAAUGGACACCCAUUAUCAUGACACACAAGAUGAUGCUGGCACUUCUGAGCCUACUUCCGAGCCUACUCAAGAGCCUACUCAAGAGCCCACUUCUGAGCCUACUUCCGAGCCCACUUCUGAGCCUAAUCCAAACAAAAGGGCCAAAACCUCAAAAUCAUCUAUUAACCAUGAUGAUUUAGCACGUGAUAUGCAGAAGGCUCUACAGGUUUUGAUUAAAGGCAAAGAAGGGCCAACAGUUCGUGAGUGUUCUGAGAAGUUAAAGUUGGUUGGGUUAGACCCGGUAGAUCCUAUAUUCUUAGCUGCUUUUCACAUUUUUGGGGUGUCCUCUGACAUGAGAGAGGCGUGGAUGGCAUUGCCAGAAAUUCCCGAGGUCUUAAGAGGGUGGAUCGGAAUGACUGCAAAAAGUUUAGGCCUGAUAAAGUAGUGAAGACCUUAUAUGCUUAACACGACUGCUAGGUUUAUGUUUGAGACAUUUUAUGCUUUUGAUUUAUGUUUGACAUUGUAUGCUUUUCGUUUAUGUUUUAGACAUUGUAUGUUUUUAUGUUUGACAUUGUAUGCUUUUGGUUGAUGAUUGUAUCCUUUGGUUUAUGCUUAUGCUUAUUGUUAAAACAGGUUCAUAAUGGAUUAUAAUAAGAAAUUACUUCUCGUUA